rnacentral:rRNA from 1 species
UCCAGGGGGUGCAAACGUUGCUCGGAAUCAUUGGGCGUAAAGCGCACGUAGGCGGUCUGUUAUGUCGGAUGUGAAAGCCCACGGCUCAACCGUGGAAGGUCAUUGGAAACUGGAGGACUUGAGUACAGAAGAGGAAAGCGGAAUUCCACGUGUAGCGGUGAAAUGCGUAGAGAUGUGGAGGAACACCAGUGGCGAAGGCGGCUUUCUGGUCUGUAACUGACGCUGAGGCGCGAAAGCGUGGGGAGCAAACAGG